UUAUGCUGAUAAGAGCGUAUGGUGGAUGCCUUGGCACUAAGAGCCGAUGAAAGACGUGAUAAGCUGCGAAAAGCUUCGGGGAGGAGCAAAUAUCCUUUGAUCCGGAGAUUUCUGAAUGGGGAAACCUACUUGAGCAAACCUCAAGUAUCCUUAAGCCAAUACAUAACUUAAGGAAGGGAACCCGGUGAACUGAAACAUCUAAGUAGCCGGAGGAAGAGAAAACAACAUGUGAUUCUGUGAGUAGCGGCGAGCGAAAACGGAAGAGCCCAAACCAGCGUGCGUGCAUGCUGGGGUUCGGACCGCGGAAUUGAUUCAACGAGUUUAGCAGAACGGUUUUGGGAAAGCCGGCCAGAGAGGGUGAAAGCCCCGUAAGCGAAAGACGAGUUGACAUGGCGGGAUCCAGAGUACCACGAGACACGUGGAACCUUGUGGGAAGAUGCGGGGACCACCCCGUAAGGCUAAAUACUACUUAGUGACCGAUAGCGCAUAGUACUGUGAAGGAAAGGUGAAAAGGACCCCGGGAGGGGAGUGAAAAAGAACCUGAAACCAUAUGUUUACAAGCUGUGGAAGAGCUUUAUAUGCUCAACCGCGUACUUUUUGUAGAACGGUCCGGCGAGUUACGCUGGCUGGCGAGGUUAAGGACUAAAGGUCCGGAGCCGAAGGGAAACCAAGUCUGAAUAGGGCGCAUAGUCAGUCGGAGUAGACCCGAAACCGGGUGAUCUAUCCAUGUCCAGGUUGAAGUUGCCGUAAAAGGCAAUGGAGGACCGAACCCACAUCCGUUGAAAAGGGUGGGGAUGAGGUGUGGAUAGGGGAGAAAUUCCAAUCGAACCCGGAGAUAGCUGGUUCUCCUCGAAAUAGCUUUAGGGCUAGCCUCAUACGAGUCUUGCGGAGGUAGAGCACUGAAUUCCUAAGGGGGCGUCAAAGCUUACUAAGGGAUAUCAAACUCCGAAUGCCGUGUAGAUGAUGUAUGGGAGUCAGACGAUCCGAGAUAAGUUGGGUGGUCAAAAGGGAAAGAGCCCAGACCAACAGCUAAGGCCCCAAAAUGUGUGUUAAGUGGAAAAGGAUGUGGGAUUUCGAAGACAACUAGGAUGUUGGCUCAGAAGCAGCCAUUCAUUCAAAGAGUGCGUAAUAGCUCACUAGUCGAGAGGUCCUGCGCCGAAAAUGUCCGGGGCUAAAACACACUGCCGAAGCUUUGGAAUUGAGAAUUCAAUUGGUAGAGGAGCAUUCUUAAAGGGAUGAAGCAGUACCGUAAGGAGCUGUGGACUUUUAAGAAGAGAGAAUGCCGGAAUGAGUAGCGAGAGGAAGGUGGGAAUCCUUCCGGCCGAAUAUCUAAGGUUUCCAGAGUAAAGCUGAUCUGCUCUGGGUAAGUCGGGGCCUAAGGCGAGGUCGAAAGACGUAGUCGAUGGAUAACAGGUUGAAAUUCCUGUACUAUCCUGUAACAGAACUGUGGGGACACAGGCAGAGAGCGUGAGCCGGGAAUGGAAAGACCGGUACAAGCGAGGUAGGAGAAGAGUUGGCAAAUCCGCUCUUCAAUCUGAAGACGUGAUGUGGACUGAAAAUAAGUAGGGAAGCACGUGAGCUGACUGUCAAGAAAAGCCGCUAUUGUUUGCAGGAUACCCGUACCGUAAACCGACACAGGUGGAUGAGGAGAGAAUCCUAAGGCCGACGGGAGAAGCAUUGUUAAGGAACUCGGCAAAAUGACUCCGUAACUUCGGGAGAAGGAGUGCCAGUAAGAUGGCCGCAGAGAAUUGGCCCAAGCAACUGUUUAGCAAAAACACAGGUCUAUGCAAAACCGAAAGGUGAGGUAUAUGGGCUGACGCCUGCCCGGUGCUGGAAGGUUAAGGGGAGAGGUUAGCGCAAGCGAAGCUUUGAACUUAAGCCCCAGUAAACGGCGGCCGUAACUAUAACGGUCCUAAGGUAGCGAAAUUCCUUGUCGGGUAAGUUCCGACCCGCACGAAAGGCGUAAUGAUUUGGGCACUGUCUCAACAAUGCACCCGGUGAAAUUGAAAUACCAGUGAAGAUGCUGGUUACCUGCGCCAGGACGGAAAGACCCCAUGGAGCUUUACUCCAGCUUGAUACUGGGAUUCGGUAUUGCAUGUACAGGAUAGGUGGGAGGCUA
rnacentral:rRNA from 1 species